UAAAGGAAGCGAUUCCGGCUACGGAUGGUCAUGCGUCGCAUUAGCUAGUUGGCGGGGUAACGGCCCACCAAGGCGACGAUGCGUAGGGGUUCUGAGAGGAAGGUCCCCCACACUGGUACUGAGACACGGACCAGACUCCUACGGGAGGCAGCAGUGAGGAAUAUUGGUCAAUGGCCGCAGGGCUGAACCAGCCAAGUCGCGUGAAGGAUGACGGUCCUAUGGAUUGUAAACCUCUUUUGUCAGGGAGCAAAGGACGCCACGUGUGGCGUUUUGCGAGUACCUGAAGAAAAAGCAUCGGCUAACUCCGUGCCAGCAGCCGCGGUAAUACGGAGGAUGCGAGCGUUAUCCGGAUUUAUUGGGUUUAAAGGGUGCGCAGGCGGAAUGUCAAGUCAGCGGUAAAAUUUCGGGGCUCAACCCCGUCGUGCCGUUGAAACUGGCGUUCUUGAGUGAGCGAGAAGUAUGCGGAAUGCGUGGUGUAGCGGUGAAAUGCAUAGAUAUCACGCAGAACUCCGAUUGCGAAGGCAGCAUACCGGCGCUCAACUGACGCUCAUGCACGAAAGCGUGGGUAUCGAACAGGAUUAGAUACCCUGGUAGUCCACGCAG
rnacentral:rRNA from 1 species